rnacentral:rRNA from 1 species
CAGUAGCCACGGGAAUACGGAGGGGGCUAGCGUUGUUCGGAAUUACUGGGCGUAAAGCGCACGUAGGCGGCUUGGUAAGUUAGAGGUGAAAGCCCGGAGCUCAACUCCGGAAUUGCCUUUAAGACUGCCGAGCUAGUAGGUGAGAGAGGUAAGUGGAAUUCCGAGUGUAGAGGUGAAAUUCGUAGAUAUUCGGAAGAACACCAGUGGCGAAGGCGGCUUACUGGCUCAUUCUAGACGCUGAGGUGCGAAAGCGUGGGGAGCAAACAGGAUUAGAUACCCCUGUAGUCCCUGUCUCUUAUAC